rnacentral:rRNA from 1 species
AGAAUCAACGCUGGCGGCGUGCCUAACACAUGCAAGUCGAACGAGAAAGUGGAGCAAUCCAUGAGUAAAGUGGCGCACGGGUGAGUAACACGUGACUAACCUACCCUUGAGUGGGGAAUAACUUCGGGAAACCGAGGCUAAUACCGCAUAACACCUACGGGUCAAAGGAGCAAUUCGCUUAAGGAGGGGGUCGCGGCGAUUAGUUAGUGGCGGGGUAAUGGGCCCACCAAGACUAUGAUCGGUAU